AGGAAUCAGUUUAACUGGCAUGAUAAGGCAAUGUUAUUUAAGCAGCACCACUGGAAGAAAGCACUGGAGAAAAGGGAGCCCUAUAAAUUCUAGUGGAACCAGUCAUGGACAAGGACCUGCGCGAUAUUUCAAUUGGCCCGUCUACUUUCCUUAGAUAUUCUCAUCUCCCAUUUCUUGUCUCUUUGUUAUGUUGGUAUAGAUUGUUAAUGGACAAACUGAUCAUCACAUGGAUGGAUGCUAUGGUUUUUCCUAUUCUUGUUAAUAGGUUUUAAUAACAAUGAGACUGCUGGAUCCU